rnacentral:rRNA from 1 species
GCUCAGGAUGAACGCUAGCUACAGGCUUAACACAUGCAAGUCGAGGGGCAGCAUGAUUGAAGCUUGCUUCAAUUGAUGGCGACCGGCGCACGGGUGAGUAACACGUAUCCAACCUGCCGGUUACUCGGGGAUAGCCUUUCGAAAGAAAGAUUAAUACCCGAUGUUAUGGUUUUUCCGCAUGGGAGAACCAUCAAAGGAUUCCGGUAACCGAUGGGGAUGCGUUCCAUUAGCUUGUUGGCGGGGUAACGGCCCACCAAGGCGACGAUGGAUAGGGGUUCUGAGAGGAAGGUCCCCCACAUUGGAACUGAGACACGGUCCAAACUCCUACGGGAGGCAGCAGUGAGGAAUAUUGGUCAAUGGACGAGAGUCUGAACCAGCCAA